rnacentral:tRNA from 1 species
AGUUCUUUAGUAUAAUUUGAGUAUUUUCGAUUUCCAAUCGAAAGGUUUUAAGAAUUA